AGUUUGAUCAUGGCUCAGAACGAACGCUGGCGGCAGGCUUAACACAUGCAAGUCGAACGAAGUCUUCGGACUUAGUGGCAGACGGGUGAGUAACGCGUGGGAACAUACCUUUCGGUACGGAACAACAGUUGGAAACGACUGCUAAUACCGUAUACGCCCUAUGGGGGAAAGAUUUAUCGCCGAGAGAUUGGCCCGCGUUAGAUUAGCUAGUUGGUGAGGUAAUGGKUCACCAAGGCGACGAUCUAUAGCUGGUCUGAGAGGAUGAUCAGCCACACUGGGACUGAGACACGGCCCAGACUCCUACGGGAGGCAGCAGUGGGGAAUAUUGGACAAUGGGCGCAAGCCUGAUCCAGCCAUGCCGCGUGAGUGAUGAAGGCCUUAGGGUUGUAAAGCUCUUUCAGCGAGGAGGAUAAUGACGUUACUCGCAGAAGAAGCCCCGGCUAACUUCGUGCCAGCAGCCGCGGUAAUACGAAGGGGGCUAGCGUUGUUCGGAAUCACUGGGCGUAAAGCGCACGUAGGCGGAUUGGUCAGUUAGGGGUGAAAUCCCAGAGCUCAACUCUGGAACUGCCUUUAAUACUGCCAGUCUUGAGUCCGAGAGAGGUGAGUGGAACUCCGAGUGUAGAGGUGAAAUUCGUAGAUAUUCGGAAGAACACCAGUGGCGAAGGCGGCUCACUGGCUCGG
rnacentral:rRNA from 1 species